CACGUAGGAGGCGAGCGUUGUCCGGAUUCAUUGGGCGUAAAGAGCACGCAGGCGGUUUGGCAAGUCGGGUGUGAAAACCCGAAGCUCAACUUCGGGCCUGCAUCCGAAACUGCCCGACUAGAGGUAGGUAGGGGAGAUCGGAAUUCCUGGUGUAGCGGCGAAAUGCGCAGAUAUCAGGAGGAACACCGGUGGCGAAGGCGGAUCUCUGGGCCUUACCUGACGCUCAGGUGCGAAAGCUAGGGGAGCGAACAGG
rnacentral:rRNA from 1 species